UCUUGGUCGAGUUUCCCAUAAUUAGUUCUAUGAGUAAGAGGGCCCUGUGCUGUUUUACAUCUAAGUAUCUUUAGUUCAGAGUCAAAGACAAGAGUGUAAUAUUACCAUGCCUACAUAUGCAGCAUGCCCUAGGGAGAACGGAGUGGAAUGCACAGGCCAGUCUGGAUUUAUGAUCCAGGAGUCAGUCUCCAGUUAAUUAAAUUCAAAGAGAGGAAAGUAAUGCUUCAACAAAAUUAUGUCUAAAUCAGGGAGGGGUGGUGGGGAAACCCACCAUACAGAAGUUGGCUUCUCUUCAAGCAUCUGUCCAAUAUACAGCCCUAGGAAAUUGCUUUGUGUAAAGAGAGAGCCCAGUGCAGAAAUGAAGUCAGAGGGGGCACGCCGGUAUGUUUAAAAAAGAAACAAUUCCUUUCAUUUCCUCAGAAAUCAAUGGAAUAUUAUCCUUCCACAAGUAACGGAGCCAGUGGAGGAGAGGAUUCUGGGAGAUGCCGGGAGUCUUUGUCAUCAGUGGAGGAACAAGGGGAAGAAUGUCGACUGUUUCCCUUUUCAAUCUUUGCUCUCCUUCAUGAGGACUGAGGGCUGUCAGAGUCAGCACCUGUGCCUUCUUUGCUUAACCGGGGCAUUGUCUGGACACAUCUCCUGAGCUCUCCUAACCUGUCUGCUUCAGGUGAGGCUUCAGGCGGCAGAGGGAGACCGUCUUCCCCAGGCAGCCAGAAAGAGGCCAUCUUUCCCACUGAGUGAAGCCUGAGCAUAGGAAGCCUCAAAGCCGACCUACAGUGACACACUUCCUUCAACAAGGCCACACCUCCUCCAAUAAGGUCACAUCUCCUAAUAAUGCCACUCCCCAUGGGCCAAGCAUUCAAACACUUGAGUGUAUAGAGGCCAAACCUAUUCAGGCCACCACAUACAUGUAUGCAAUACAUUGUGAUUACUCUCACCUCCCCAACAUCUCUUGUUUCCCUUACCUCCAUCAGUUUCUCCUCCUCCCUAACAACUCCAUUUCUUAUACAUGCCUUUUGUUAUUUUUGGUGAACCACUGAGUUUAACCAGACCCAUCUAUGUGACUGUGACUGUUGAACCGUCCAUUGGAGCCUGGUGAGUUCACACAACUGAAGACAACAAAUGCCAUACCCCAGAACACACCAGGAACCAUUAGUUCAGGUUCUUUGACUUCUUCCAACCCCACGAGGAACUACUUCCACUUGCCAUUAACGUCAACAUUCCUUUACACCAUGUACAUCUCAGCGUCUUUACUCCUCCCUUGAUAUCUUUGUUCCCCUUGAAAAAAAUCAUGUGUUCAAUUUUAAAUGUUAUGUUUUUAUACUUUUUAAUGAAUGUUGUCUUUUAACACUUAAGCUCCCCAGUGGGACGUGGGGUAACAGUUCCCUCAUUUUAUUCCAUCCGUAUAGUUUUAAGAUUACAUGAGUCGACAGGGCUGAUUCUUAAGGGCUUAUUCUUACUUAAGUUUGUGUUCUUAAUACAUUAAAAGAAUAAUUGUCCUCAAGGUCUUUGUAUUAUAAAAUACUAGACUACUUAGUUAUUCCUAUUACUAUUAAUCAUUACUAAUAACACAGGAACCACAACCUGUGACAUCGUCUUGAAAUAGCCAAAGAGUUCACUUUAGGUGGCAUUUGAAGAGCCAAAGGUGCAGAAGUCACAUGCUGAGCAAAUGGGGACAAGAGCAUUGUGCCUUGGUUUCUGAUUCCAGGGAGAACAGAAAGGCUAAAGGAGACUCCAGAAGUUGCCUCUUUCUUUCUAGGUCUUAUGCCACCAGAGAUUUAGAGGUCAAAAGUGCUUUUUCCACACAAGCAUUAUCUUGUCUAAAACACAAUCAACUUGCUACUUGUCCUGGUCUUUGUGCUGGCUAAGAAGACAGACAGAGGCAGGUAGGGAAUAAUAGCAUUUCUAGGAUAUAAAAUCUUACAGAGAAUAUGAAGGUCUGUUCAAACACUUUAAUUACCUACUCCAAUUGGCUAAAUGUGUACUCUGCUUUUAUGUUCAAAACACUUCAGAUAACAAAUACAAAACCCAACUUUAAAAAACAGGAAGCUAAAAUUCCAAAUUGAGGUCACUGUUCAUCUUUCCCUGUACACUCUUCAUUUUCCCUGCUGCUAAAUGAACAGUAAUGAAACAUUGCUAAUUAAUUAGUGAAUCUGAAUUCAUUCACCCCUCACAGUGUGGUGGUAAUAACUCCAAAGAUACCAGUACAAUGCUAUAACUUGCAUAUGAAAUGUAUUCCUUCAGGCUCAAAUGUUUGAAUACUUGGUCUCCAUGUUGGGGGCAGGGGGACGGUUUUGGGUAAUCAUAGAACCUUUGGAGUUGAAGGUAUUGCGUCAUGGAGGAAGAGCUUUAGAGGGUUUCAAUCUGACUCUCCCUUGGGACUGGCUGUGUGAUUUUGCUUGGUGUCAUACCAAGGCUGCUGAUGCCAGAAGCUCUUGCUAUCCUGGGCCCAUGCACUCAGGAAGCUAUGGCUUCUCUGCCAUGGUGGGAUGCUCCCUCUGAAUGGAUAGCCACAUUAUGCUUGCGUCCCUUAAAUUGUUUCAAUUUUUUUCAGUGAUUUCCACAAUUAUAACAAACAUUAGAGAUAAAGCAAACUAAAAAGGGGAAAGGUUUAUUUCAGCUCACAAUUUUGGAGUCUUCAGUCCAUGGUUAGCCUGUUACUUUGUAGCUGUGGUAAAGAGUCAUAUUGUGGGAUCAUGGUAUAGCAAAAUGUUCAACUCAUGGGUGUCAGACAAUUACGGAAAGAGGAGGAAAUAUAUUCUACUCAUGCCUUCAAGUGCAAGAUCCUAUUGACCCAAGACCCCUUACUAGAUCAAAGGUUUUUACUACCAUCCAAUAGAACCAAGUUCAAAAUUCAGCCUUUACUCAUUGAACCUCUAAGCAUAAUAUAAAGGGUCAUAUAAAAGAGAUUAAGUCAAAGAUUCGAGAUGACAGAGUAUCUUUGAUGAAUUUGGCAGGUCCUGACCUUAAUGCACUCACAAAUGACAUUGUGAUGGGGCAUCGGAGAGAGAUCAGACAUAAAGAGGAAAAAGAAAUUGUGAAAACAGACUCUGGUUAGCGUGAUAUGGCCCAAAGCUAAGCAUUUCAGUAGUAACUAAAGAUGGGGGAGACAGAGGAAGCUACUUUCCUACAGAGCAUAUUGGAGAAUGGGAGAUCUACUAGGGCCUUGAUUUGACCCAAGUGAAACAUUCCAUAAUUCUAGUUUUGAGAACAUGAUACAGUUUUUGAAGCCAACUCCUUUCAUGGCUGUUAUAGCAGACAACAAUUAAAUACAGGGCCUUGCAUAGAAAUUUGCUUCUUUUUUCUAAAAGUAAGAGGGUAACUUUUCUGUAUGAUCUGUGUAUGACUGUGUGUGGUCACUUGUGUUGCCAUUAUGGGGUAUUGCAAACUGCAUGGUUAAACCACAGAACUGACUUACAUAUUGGAGGCUAGUAGCUCUAUAUCAAGGUUGGCCACAUUGGUUAUUCUUGUGGUCUCUUUAGUUUGUAGAUAGUUGUCUUGUCUGUGUCUUGACUUCUUUCCCUAAGUACAGCCAUUCUGUUGGUUCACAUGGUUCAGGUCCAUUUGAGAUUAUACCUAAAUUGCUUCUUUUUAACUAUCUUUAAAACACUAGGUUAGGAGACAUUUUGAAUUAAGCUCUGUAAGUAGACUAACCCAGAUUUCUCAGGGAAACUUUUCCUUGACUUCAAAGUGUAUUUGCCUGAGUCACUGAUCUUACUUUAUUCUCUUAUUGUGCCCUGUUAGACGGCGAGUUCUUGGAUACUUUGAAGUUGUAUUUAUUUGGAUGUCAAUGAAAGAUGAAUUUAUUAAUCCUUUAAAGUGCUUGGCAAACAAAUUAAACUUUUGUAUUUAUCCACCAUCAUAUAUCUGAGUAUUAGAACGUGGGUGUAUCACAUUUCUGGCCUACCUCAGGGAUUUACAACUAAGAGUAAACAAACCAUUAUAGAACAUGUUAUUUUUAGAACAGGUGUUCUCAGUGUGUCCCUCUGGGGGCUGGAAUGUUUCAGUUAGUAAAAAUGCUUCUGGUCACAAAUACGUGAGGAUCUGAAGUCGGAUCCUCCGCAUUCAAGAAAAAAACACACUGCUGCAUAUCACAGAUCCAGUUCUGGGGAGAUAAGAUAGGAGGAUGAGUCAGCUGGACAUUGAACCCUUGCAAGUCUGAUGCAAAUGAGUACAAGAAACAGGCAACAGUACAGACAUUUGCAUUUCCUUUCAUCUUGGUUAACCUCUCGCCUUCUUUUCAGAAGUCAGAAUCCAUGGCUGAUUAGUCCUUUCAGAGGAAAAGAGGUUUAAAUAGACAGGGGAAAUGAAAAGACUAUCUUGUAGGAGCAGCAGUUUUAGAAAACAUUUCUGGAGUAAGGACAUAAUGUACUAUAGAACUUUACCUAUGAGAAAGAUUGAAUGAGACCAUCAUACCUGCUUUUCAAAGAAGUGUUAGUUUAAUCAGAUGUGGAGGGUCCCUUUAGGUUUUACAGCAGGCAGGAAAUGAUCCACAAAAAGACAAAAAUGAAACUCAGUUCAGAUUUUUAGGUACUGGUGUUGGGCAAGUACUUUUAAAGUCUGACAUCAGCUCAUAAAUUUUUGUCAUAUGUAAGCAUCUCACAAUUUUCAGGUAACAACUCAGCCUCAUGGGUACAUUAAAACUUAAGACCUCUUUACACCGAAGCUGUUUAUAAAGUAAAUAUGGCGUUGUCUGUAUUUUUUGUUGUUGACUUCCAAAGAAUGCUUGAGAUAAGGGUCUAGGGAGAAUGACUGAGGAAAAUGCAAUCCCUAUAGGAGUCAGGAUUUAACCUGGUCCUAAGAUAACCUAACACUUUGGCUAUUGAAAGGACAAAUGACAUCUCUCACAAGGAUGAAUUUUAUGGCCUAGAAGUAAUGUUUAAUCAAAGUUUUAGGGGGAAAGGGUCUGGAGAAGUAGAGCAUAAAUUCUGGAAGAUGUGGGCAGAGUCUGUCUUAUCAGAGAGCAGUGGAUCACCAGGUUGUAAACUCCAUCUAUUCCCGGCAUUCCAGGAGAAGGACAAGCUAAACAUUUCUUUCCUUUGAUGAACAUCUGUGAGUUUAACUUUCCUGGCUUCUCCAGUGCUAAUCUAUGUGUACAAGCACUUUUUACCUUCUACAUAAUGACAUGCUAUUAGUUACAUCAUCAGAUGACCAAGACUUAAACAACCCACACUUAGUAAACAUUUAAGACCUAUAAUAAAUAUUUAGUGAACUACAGUAUAAUAGCAAAUAGAAUUAUUUGCUAUGUCGAAACUUAGUGCUUCUUCUUGGAAUAGUAAAAAUAAUGCUCUUGGAAACGCUGUAUGUGCAGUUUUAAAUGUCAAAAGUAAAAAAUAACCAGAAUACACGAAAAAGCAAAUGGAAUACUCACCAAUUAUAUGCAAAGUUUGGGGAGGAAGGACCUAGGUCUUCUAACUUCCCUGGCUUUUUUUUUUUUUUUUUUUU
rnacentral:sRNA from 1 species